rnacentral:rRNA from 1 species
UACGGAAGGUGCAAGCGUUGUUCGGAGUGACUGGGCGUAAAGCGCACGUAGGCGGUUUCAUAAGUCGAAUGUGAAAACCCCAGGCUCAACCUGGGACGUGCAUUUGAAACUGUGAAUCUUGAAUGCCUGAGAGGUUAGUGGAAUUCCUGGUGUAGGAGUGAAAUCCGUAGAUAUCAGGAGGAACACCGGAGGCGAAGGCGUCUAACUGGUGGUGCAUUGACGCUGAGGUGCGAAAGCGUGGGUAGCAAACAGG